rnacentral:rRNA from 1 species
CUUAACACAUGCAAGUCGAGCGGUAAGGCCUUUCGGGGUACACGAGCGGCGAACGGGUGAGUAACACGUGGGUGAUCUGCCCUGCACUUCGGGAUAAGCCUGGGAAACUGGGUCUAAUACCGGAUAUGACCUCMUGUUGCAUGACUUGKGGUGGAAAGAUUUAUCGGUGCAGGAUGGGCCCGCGGCCUAUCAGCUUGUUGGUGGGGUAAUGGCCUACCAAGGCGACGACGGGUAGCCGACCUGAGAGGGUGACCGGCCACACUGGGACUGAGACACGGCCCAGACUCCUACGGGAGGCAGCAGUGGGGAAUAUUGCACAAUGGGCGAAAGCCUGAUGCAGCGACGCCGCGUGAGGGAUGACGGCCUUCGGGUUGUAAACCUCUUUCAGCAGGGACGAAGCGCAAGUGACGGUACCUGCAGAAGAAGCACCGGCUAACUACGUGCCAGCAGCCGCGGUAAUACGUAGGGUGCAAGCGUUGUCCGGAAUUACUGGGCGUAAAGAGUUCGUAGGCGGUUUGUCGCGUCGUUUGUGAAAACCAGCAGCUCAACUGCUGGCUUGCAGGCGAUACGGGCAGACUUGAGUACUGCAAGGGAGACUGGAAUUCCUGGUGUAGCGGUGAAAUGCGCAGAUAUCAGGAGGAACACCGGUGGCGAAGGCGGGUCUCUGGGCAGUAACUGACGCUAAGGAACGAAAGCGUGGGUAGCGAACAGGAUUAGAUACCCUGGUAGUCCACGCCGUAAACGGUGGGCGCUAGGUGUGGGUUCCUUCCACGGAAUCCGUGCCGUAGCUAACGCAUUAAGCGCCCCGCCUGGGGA